rnacentral:rRNA from 1 species
CCUACGGGCGGCAGCAGUGAGGAAUGUUGGUCAAUGGACGGAAGUCUGAACCAGCCAUGCCGCGUGCAGGAAGACCGCUCUAUGAGUUGUAAACUGCUUUUGUACAAGGGUAAACCUGAAUACGUGUAUUCAGCUGAAAGUACUGUACGAAUAAGGAUCGGCUAACUCCGUGCCAGCAGCCGCGGUAAGACGGAGGAUCCAAGCGUUAUCCGGAUUUAUUGGGUUUAAAGGGUGCGUAGGCGGAUUGAUAAGUUAGAGGUGAAAUGUCCGAGCUUAACUCGGGAACUGCCUCUAAUACUGUUGAUCUAGAGAGUAGAUGCGGUAGGCGGAAUGUAUGGUGUAGCGGUGAAAGGCUUAGAGAUCAUACAGAACACCGAUUGCGAAGGCAGCUUACCAAUCUAUAUCUGACGUUGAGGCACGAAAGCGUGGGGAGCAAACAGGAUUAGAUACCCUUGUAGUC